CAGUCGCCGCGGUAAUACGUAGGUCCCGAGCGUUGUCCGGAUUUAUUGGGCGUAAAGCGAGCGCAGGCGGUUAGAUAAGUCUGAAGUUAAAGGCUGUGGCUUAACCAUAGUACGCUUUGGAAACUGUUUAACUUGAGUGCAAGAGGGGAGAGUGGAAUUCCAUGUGUAGCGGUGAAAUGCGUAGAUAUAUGGAGGAACACCGGUGGCGGAAGCGGCUCUCUGGCUUGUAACUGACGCUGAGGCUCGAAAGCGUGGGGAGCAAACAGGAUUAGAUACCCCCGUAGUCCCUGUCUCUUAUACA
rnacentral:rRNA from 1 species